rnacentral:lncRNA from 1 species
UCGCUUUGUCCACAACCGAGGCCGAAUAUUCUGCCACGGGAAGUUGUUGAAUCCUUUAGAUGGAAUAACAACUUUUGGAUUAUGGUCUUAGUCUUGAUCACGUCCCUCUUUGAUGUGAUAACUCUUAGUGCCAUAAGCUUGACGAAGAUUCCAAUUCUUCAUUCAAGUACAAAGCUAAUUAUGCACCAUUGUAUGAAAGAUCACGUUCUCAAAGGUGAUGUCGAAAUUAAAAUUUGAUGACAUCUUUUCAAGCCUUUAGANNN